rnacentral:tRNA from 1 species
GGGCGCAUAGCUCAGCGGUAGAGCGCUACUCUUACAAAGUAGAUGUCACAGGUUCGAUCCCUGUUGUGCCCA